rnacentral:rRNA from 1 species
GUUGCAGUUAAAGCUCGUAGUUGAACCUUGGGCCUGGCUGGCCGGUCCGCCUCACCGCGUGCACUGGUCCGGCCGGGUCUUUCCCUCUGGGGAGCCGCAUGCCCUUCACUGGGUGUGUCGGGGAACCAGGACUUUUACUUUGAAAAAAUUAGAGUGUUCAAAGCAGGCUUAUGCUCGGAUACAUUAGCAUGGAAUAAUAGAAUAGGACGUGCGGUUCUAUUUUGUUGGUUUCUAGGACCGCCGUAAUGAUUAAUAGGGACAGUCGGGGGCAUCAGUAUUCAAUUGUCAGAGGUGAAAUUCUUGGAUUUAUUGAAGACUAACUACUGCGAAAGCAUUUGCCAAGGAUGUUUUCAUUAAUCAGGAACGAAAGUUAGGGGAUCGAAGACGAUCAGAUACCGUCGUAGUCUUAACCAUAAACUAUGCCGACUAGGGAUCGGACGAUGUUAUUUUUUGACUCGUUCAGCACCUUACACGAAAGUACAAGUUUCUGGGUUCUGGGGGGAGUAUGGUCGCAAGGCUGAAACUUAAAGAAAUUGACGGAAGGGCACCACCAGGGGUGGAAUCUGCGGCUUAAUUUGACUCAACACGGGGAAACUCACCAGGUCCAGACACGAUGAGGAUUGACAGAUUGAGAGCUCUUUCUUGAUUUCGUGGGUGGUGGUGCAUGGCCGUUCUUAGUUGGUGGAGUGAUUUGUCUGCCUAAUCGCGAUAACGAACGAGACCUUAACCUGCUAAAUAGCCCGCGUUGCUUUGGCAGCGCGCUGGCUUCUUAGAGGGACUAUCGGCUCAGCCGAUGGAGUUUGAGCAUACAGUCUGUGAUGCCCUUAGAUGUCUGGCCGCACGCGCGUACACUGAC